rnacentral:lncRNA from 1 species
CGUUGCCAAAGUUGAAUAGCAGCUUCUCUAAGUUCCUGAUCAUGGCUUCUAAUGGAGAAAAUCUUGCUCAGAAAAACCAAGUGGUGGUGGUUUUGAUACCUUUCUCUGCACAAGGCCAUCUCAAUCAGCUUCUGCAUCUCUCAAACCUUAUCUCAUCACACAACAUACCAGUUCAUUAUGUUUCCACUGNCNCUCACAUUCGCCAAGCCACACUUCGACAUCACGAAUCCAUUUCUAACAUUCAUUUCCAUGCCUUUGAUGUUCCAACCUUUGUUUCCCCUUCUCCCGAUCCAGAAAGCGAUUUCCCAUNUCAUCUAAUUCCCUCCUUUGAGGCCUCUAUGCAUCUUCGAGACCCUGUCAGGAAACUGCUUCUAUCCCUCUCCUCUGAAACCAAAAGGGUUAUAGUCAUCCAUGACUCUGCCAUGGCUUCAGUGGCACAAGAUGCCACAAACAUACCUAAUGUUGAGAAUUACACUUUUCACAUCACAUGCGCCUUUAGCGUCUACGUUCACUAUUGGAACAGAAUUGGAAGGCCUUCGGUUGAAGCCAUGAACGCCCUUAAAGUUCCUUCUCUGGAAGGAUGCUUCCCAACCCAAUUCUUGGAUUUCCUUAUUACACAAAGAGAUUUUCUCAAAUUCAGUGAUGGAUUCAUCUGCAACACAAGCAGGGUGAUUGAUGGUGAUUACAUUGAGUUGAUGGAGGUUGUCACUGCUGGUAAAAAGAUUUGGGCACUGGGACCGUUCAACCCUUUAGCCGUUGAGAAGAAAGAUUCAAAAGAAAGGCACUCAUGCAUNGAGUGGCUUGAUAAACAAGAGCNUAAUUCAGUGAUNUAUGUGUCUUUUGGGACAACAACAACUUUGAAAGUGGAACAGAUCCAUGAGGUUGCAACUGGGUUGGAACAAAGCAAGCAGAAGUUCAUCUGGGUGGUGAGAGAUGCUGAUAAAGGGGACAUCUUUGAUGAAAAUGAAGCAAAAAGACUUGAUCUUCCAAUUGGGUUCGANGAGAGAGUGAACGGCGUGGGGGUGGUUGUGAGGGAUUGGGCACCCCAAUUGGAAAUUCUGAGCCACCCUUCAACAGGAGGGUUUAUGAGCCAUUGUGGAUGGAACUCGUGCUUGGAGAGCAUAACCAUGGGAGUGCCAAUAGCAACAUGGCCAAUGCACUCUGACCAACCAAGUAACGCAGCUCUGAUAACAGAGAUUCUGAAGGUUGGUUUGGUUGUGAAGGAUUGGUCAGANAGGAAAGCGUUGGUGACUGCAUCAGAUGUUGAGAACGGUGUGAGAAGGUUGAUGCAAACAAAGGAAGGUGAUGAGAUGAGAGAGAGAGCAGCGAGGCUUAAAAGUGCCAUCCAUAUGUCCACGGAAGUAGGUGGAGUUUCUCGCAUGGAAAUGGAUUCUUUCAUUGCUCAUAUCACUAAAUAAUCUCAUCAGUUUCUAUUUGUGUGAUUUGUAGUUUAACAUAUCAGAAUUUUACAACAGUUGAUGAAGAUAAGUUUGGCAUGAAUAUUUCUCUUUCUCAAGACAUUACAUAGCAAAGCUGUAGGAUGGAUAUGCUGACUUGUUAUUCCAUUUUGAAAGAGUUGUUCUAGUUUUAUAGAAACAUCACUGCUUUUGUUCAUGAGUUUGAAAGUUGUACUUCAUAGUUAUUGAUUAAAAUGGUCAACUUUUAGGCGUAAAGCAUGUAAGAAGCACCUAUAGUGAAAUUAUUGGUGAUAAGAAAGGAACACUCCAUUUUAUGCUAACUACGAAUCUAUUAAAGUGACCAUUCAUACAAAAUAAUAUCUUUAUGUUAAAAUAUAAAAUAAUUUAAAAUGAAUUAUUCAAAAACAAAAUUUAAGUAUCUUAUUUUUUUAAUUGACAUUGAAAUGUCAUAAAAAUAAUGAAAAAGAAUAUAUAUAUAUAUAUAUAUAUAUAUAUAUAUAUAUAUAUAUAAAAUUAUUAUGGUUUAAUACAAUAAAAAUUACAUAUGAGAUUAAUCUCCUCUAAAUAUACUCAUAAAAAAUUUUAUUUAUAAUAAAAAAAAUAGUUAAGUCUAAAAUAUAAAUAAGAAAUAAUAAUAAAUUAAUUAAAGAUAAAAUAUCUAUAUAAAAUAUUUAAUAAUCUAAUAUGUCCAAGAUUCUCCCUGAAGCUCAUCCUAUGUAAAGAUUUAGUGAAAAUAUUUAUUAACUAAUAACUUGAAGGUUUAAACCCUUAAAUCGUCCCUAUUUUUGGGGCUCUUUUCCAAUUUCGUCUCCUUUUUAUUAAAAGAUCCAAUUUGGUCCUCAAAAGAGCCAAUUUGAUUGAAAUUGACCCUUUCCGUUUAAAAAAGUUAACACCGUCAAAUAUUUUGCCAGCACAGUGAAUGAGGUGUUAACUUAUGCAUAGGUGGCCUUUAUAGUCAUGAAAUGUGUCAUUCAUCUCAUCAAACAUGGUCAAAGAGGAAAGCGUUGGUGACUGCAUCAGAUGUUGAGAACGGUGUGAGAAGGUUGAUGCAAACAAAGGAAGGUGAUGAGAUGAGAGAGAGAGCAACGAGGCUUAAAAAUGGCAUCCAUAAGUCCGCGGAAGAAGGUGGAGUUUCUCGCGUGGAAAUGGAUUCUUUCAUUGCUCACGUCACUAAAUAAUCUCGUCAGUUUAUUUUUGUGUGAUUUGCAGUUUAAUAUAUCAGAAUUUUACAACAGUUGAUGAAGAUAAGUUUGGCAUGAAUAUUUCUCUUUCUAAAGACAUUAACCCAAAAUUCGUAGUUCAUAAGAUAUAAUUUCAUAAGAGAAUCCAUUAUUAAAAAGGAAGUGAAAUUUGAUAUCAUUUCAAAAUUAAGUUGUAAAUAUUUUCACGAAACUGUUAAAGUUUGAAAAGUUUUAAAGGUUAAGAACAAAGAUAGAUUAGUGUGAAGAAGAAAAUUUUAAAUUAAGAAGAGGAAAUAUUAUUAAAGUAAAAUAAAGAAAUAUCUUCUGAAUGUUAUUAAAAUAAAGAAACUAAGUUUGAGACUUAGUUAUGUACUAUUAAUGCAGCUAUAUGUGAACCUCCAACUUUUUUAGUUUUAUUAAAUCAACAAAACACACUUAUUACACAAUAGGAAAUAUGAGAAUUACAUUUUAAAUAAAAUUAUUUAAUAUUAUGAACUAUAGUGUAACUUUCUACUCUCUUUUUUAUUAAUUUGAUGUUAAUAAUUAUUAUUUAUAUAAUAAAAAAAAUAGGUAUUUAGCAUAAGAUAAAAAUUAACAUUAACAAAAGUUAUUGCUGACCAAUAGUAUCUUGUUUAUGUAUGGAUUUUAAAAUCAAGGAUGCUUGACUUUUAAAUUAAACUCUAAAUAAUGUUAACUAAGACAAGUCUAAAUAGUAUCAACUAAGUUAAAAAUAUUUUAUUAUUAAAAUUUAAAUUGAUUUUUAAUUUCUAAUAUUAUCAUGUAUAAUUUCGUGUGUUAAGUAUCUAAACAAAUUACAAUUAACUAUUUUAUAAUUUAAGUAUUGCAUAUAUAUUUUACAUACUUUAUAAUUUAUGUUGAUAUAAUCAAUGUUGCAGCACAGGAUACUUAUUUUAAAAUAAGUUAAUUCAAUUUGACUUAUUUUUUUUUAGGUUAAAAAUUUUGUAACCAAGUGGGUUAUUAUAAGUUGAUAAAUUAAUAGAUUAACAUUUUUUUAAUUUAACUUAUAUUUUUAUUACAAUAUAAUUAAAAGAUUAAUUCGAUUUAUUAUUUUAUAAUAGUGUAAUAAAAGUAUUCAGAUAUUUUUACUAAACAAUGUUUUAAAAUUAAAAACUAAAGUGUCAAUUUAUAUAACAAAUAAAAUAAUUAAAUAUUUAAACUAUUCAAAUAUUAUUAUUAAACAUUAUUCUAGAAUUUAAAAAUAUUAAAUAUCAAUUUAUAUAAUUUAAAAUUUGUAAAUAAUUAUAAUAAAAAUUUAUUAAAAAAUGGUAAAAAUCAAAUAAAUAAUUGUGUUUCAACUCUAGUAUAUUUAAUUCCAUAUUGAGUGGAGUUUAAUUUGAUCCAUAUAAAAAAAUGAAUAUUUUCUUACUUUAUACCUGUGGAAUUGAUUGACGGAUUAAAAGUUAUUUUUACGUCUCUUACGCUUUGUUCGCUUGAACAGAUUAUACUGUUCAAGCGAAUUUGCGAGCGAUGAUAGUUUUAAAUUUUGCGUUCCUUUGCACUGAUUUCAAGCGAUGGAUUUGUAAGGAUUUGCGAUGAUUUUCAGUUCAAUGCACUGUCCUCACCAUCUCGCAAAAAUGAGACGAUUUGCGAUGAUUUACUGCCAAAAGACUAAUAUACCCUCUGUUACUCUGAAAAUUCCAAGUGAACGUGCACAUGUAUUCUGAAAUUUGGGGCAGGUAUUCGGAUACACUGUUGCUGUAUCCGGAUAGAGUUUUCUUCAGAAAUUGCAAAAGAAGAGUAUCCGGAUAGACCCUGUGCGUAUCCGGUUCCAGCGUUCUUGUUGUUUGCAGUUCUUUGCAUGGCAGCCAUGGGAGCGUUCCGGUAGCAGUCACCGGUUGGCCAGAGCUUCCUUCCUUGGUCCGUCGCCACAGCUAGCAAAGUGAAGUGUGUUUAGGGUCGUGCAUGGGUGAUGGUACCAACCAUCUUCUUCACGGUGGCGGCUUGGUGAUUCUUUUGGUUGUCGUUUGCGACGCGAUGGUGGUUCUAGGUUCUCCGUGACGGCGAAGUUGGCGGUGGCCUGCUGAAGUGAUGAUGAUGGUUGCGCGAUGGUGGAUGGUGGUCUGCGAGGAAGAAGACUCGCGAUGGCAAUUCGGACUGGUGCUUGCUCACGAAAGAUUGGGUGGUGGCGUAAAGCUUUGUGAUGGUCGGCGAGCACGCCGGCGAUGGUGGCUGGCAGCGGCUUGAAGGUUGACGGUGGUGGCUUUAGGGUGGCUGACGGCUAUGGGUGUUGAACGGCGGCAUGGUGGUGAGAAACAUGGUCGCAGAUGAUGGAGGCGCUGUGCGAUGGCUUGCUGGUGGUGCGCGAUGUGGCUGCCAUGGAGAAGGCGGCGGCUAGGGUUUGGCAAGAGAAUUGGGGUUUCUGUUGGGCUUUAGUAUUGGUCUGGUUUAGAACUGAGGGGUGCAUGUAGGGAAAUCUGGGGGUGCAAGAGUAAAAAUUGUCUAUUUGGACAUUAUUUUUCAAACAAAUACUAUAUUUAAAAAUAAAAUUAAUUUACAACAUUAUAAAUUUUUAAUAUUUUAAAAAUUAAUUUUACUUAUUAUUUCAAUUAUUAUUAAUUAAUUUCCUCUCUUUAUUAACAUUUAUACAUUCAAAUAUUACAUUACAAAAAUCACAUUUUAUAUUACUUUAAUACUUAGGGGCAUUUUGGUAAUCUAUAAUUUUUACCAAUUAAACUAUUUUUUUAAAUCUGUCACAUCAAUCAAAUCCUACACUACUUCUCAUAAACUUUACUCUCAAAUCCACUCUCAAUUACCUACAAAUCCACUAAAAAAAACAACAAUAAAAUUAUCCUCAAAUCCACUCAAAUCCAUUCAAAUCAUCUUCUCCAAAUCAUCUCCCACAUAUCCUCCCAAAACAACACAGCCUUAAUGUGUGUGUGUGUGGUUUCUUUCAUCAUAAGGCGGUUGGCCUAAAGUUAAAAAAGCAAAUAUUUGUUGAAAAGAUAUUGUCGAAUCGUUGAGUUUUUCCAUGUUUGAAUUUCAAUCUUAAAUUAACUCUGUCUGCAAUUAUUGUACAAUUCUUGUUUUAAACGAUGAAGACAUACAAAUUGUAAAAUAAAAUAAAUAUUACAAACAUUGUAUCAGUAUAGAUUAAAUAGACAUUAACUUAAAUAAAUUAGAUAAAUGUUAAAAAUAAACUCUACUAAUAUCUAUUAUUGAAAAUAAAUAACAUUAACAUUUAUUUUUAAAAUCAAAUUAUACUAAAAUAUACCUAGCUAUAACUUAAAUAAAUUUAAAUAUUGAAAUUAAUGUAAACUACCACAAAUUUUAAUAAAAUUAAGCUAAAUUACAUUAACUUUAACUAAACCAAAAUUAACCGUAAAUAUUAAAAUUAAAUUAGAUUAACUUGAGUCUAAUAAAUUGUAACUUGAACAUAAUUAUUUUGAUUAAAAAAGUUAUUUCUAUUUUAAAUUAGAAUUAGGUAAUUGGUGGAAUUUGUUUGGGUGGCUGUUGUAAUGGAUGUUAUUGUUUGAUAGCAGAUUGUUAAUAUUCCUUUGAUGGCUAGUGGUGUUGGAACAUAUUUAAAUUGAAAUAAUUUCAGUGAUGAGACAAAAAUAAAAUAAAAAAUUUUCUCCAUUAUCAAGAAUGACGCAAAGGUUUCAUUUGAAAAGUUGGAAGCCGUAGCCAAGAAGGAUAUCUAUGUCUUCUCUCCCACUGACCCGGAGUCAAAACAACAAAUUUCUUUUUUUUGACCCACUUUUUUUUAUAUAAGAAAAUAACAAUAUUUUGACGAUAUUAUUUUAUAAUAUUUAAAUAUUAUUUAUAUGUUAUUAUUUAAUUGAUUCAUAAUAAUAUUUAUGAUUAUUAUUAUUGAUUAUGAAAUAAUUUUAAAUCAAUCAAAAAAUACAUAUAAAUGAUCUUACUGUUAAAAAUGUGUUCAAAUAUCAUUUUAUAGAUUAGACAAUGUUUAUAUAACAAUUUAAAAAAUAUAGAUAUUUUAGACCACAUAUUUAAAAUUGUAGAUAAUUUUACUUUAAACAUUUCAAAUUAUUAUCAUCAAAUGGUAAUAAUUAAAUUGUUAAAGAUACAUUAGUUAUUAUGUGGAGGAGGUUAAGUCUCAAUCAAAUUAUAACAUUUAAACGAAUAUAUUCUUAAGUAAAAAAUGGUAAUUUCUAAUUAAUUUUAAGGUAAACAUUAAUUGAAUAAAGAUUAAUCAAUUUUAAAAAGUCUUAUAAUACUCCAGAUUCACAAAAACACACAGUAGAAAGUGUAUAACAUAUAUAAUACCAUAACAUAUAAAACAUCUUAAAAAAUUCUUUCAUAUUUUUGUAAUCAUCUAAAUUUUAUUCAUUAAAAGAGUUUAAUAGUUCUAAUAUAUACAUAUAUGAGAUGCUGAAAAGAAGUUUUAAUAUCAAAAUUUCCAACUUAAAUUUUAAUGAAAUUAUAUAACUACAACUCUUAUAUGAACAAAUAUGUCACAUGAAUUGAUAUAAGAUGAAAUAGAAAACACAAUUAAAUUAUUUCUGUUAAUUAAAUAAUUAUUAAAUCAACUAAUUAAAUAAAUACCAUAGAUGCGGCAGCUUCCAUAGCCUAAAAUACUUGCUCAUAAAAUAUAACUGAAAAACAUAGGGUUGGCCCUUUGGGGAAGGUGAAAAAAAGUUAUACAAAUUUAAUAUGAUAAUUUUUUUUUUCUUUUAAUCAUGAUUCAACUUCUUCUUUUCUUAUUUCUCCAAAACUCGUUUAAGUUACAUUUAACAAAUGUAAACAUUAUAAAUAAUAAAAUUAAUUUUAACAAAAAAGGAAUUGAUAUAUUGUCAUUUCCUAUUAGUGAUCAUAUUAUCUAUAGUAGCUAUUAAGAUUUCUAACCUAACCAUACCAUCUGGCUGCUCUUACAGACCCCCCUUUUAGUUCUUGUCUCUUACAAAUCAUAAGUAUAACAUUAUCUUAUAUAUAAUAUACAAGCCUUAUUUUUCUUUAAUUUAUUUAUUUUUUCUCACGUGAAACAUAUACAUUUUAUUCUUAAUACUAAAAUACCAGUAUCAAUAGAUAGUCUAAUAAAUAAUAGUGAUAAGUCAAAAAAUAAAAAUAAACUUCAAUUCCAAUAAACCUAACAGAUUCUAAAAUGAAGUUUAUACAUUGUAAGUCAUGUUGCUUUGUUUUUAAAAUACAUAAUUCUGAAUGAUUAGGGAUGGCUGAAUCGAUUUAAACAAUCAUCUAAUAAAAAAAAAAAUUAUCAACACAACUAAUACAAUUUGUUUAAGUAAUUGCCUGAGACACUGACACAUUACCCCAAACAUAAGCAUCUUUCUUUGUUACAUAAAUGCUUAGUUCAACCAUAGCAUCUAGCUAUACAGAUUUUCUCAAUGGCUUCCAAUGGAAGAAUUCUUCCUCAUCAAACCCAAGUGUUGGUGGUUCUGAUACCUUUCCCUGCACAAGGCCAUCUCAAUCAGCUUCUGCAUCUCUCAAACCUAUUCUUGGCACAAAACAUACCAGUCCAUUAUGUUGGCACUGUCACGCACAUUCGCCAAGCAACACUUAGACACCACAACUCUACUUCAAACAUUCAUUUCCAUGCCUUUGAAGUUCCACCCUUUGUUUCUCCUCCUCCUAACCCUAGCAAUCCAGAAAAUGAUUUUCCAUCUCAUCUCAUUCCUUCCUUUGAGGCCUCAACACAACUUCGGGAGCCUGUGGGAAAGCUUCUUCAAUCCCUCUCAUCUCAAGCCAAAAGGGUCAUAAUCAUCCAUGAUUCCCUCAUGGCAUCAGUGGCACAAGAUGCAACAAACAUGCCUAACGUUGAGAAUUACACUUUCCACAGCACAUCUGCCUUUACCACCUUUGUUUCCUUCUGGGAGAGAAUGGGAAAGCCUCCACUUGAAGGUUUCCGUGUCCCAGAAUUUCCUAUUUUUGAAGGAUGCUUCGCGGCCCAAUUCGUUGGUUUCAUUAUCGCACAAUAUGAAUUACUCAAAUUCAACGAUGGAAAUAUAUACAACACAAGUAGGGUGAUCGAAGAUCCUUUUCUUGAGUUGCUGGAGCGUAAUGGGGGCAAGAAGGUUUGGGCACUUGGCCCAUUCAACCCUUUAGCCAUU